AGUUGAAUAUACCGGUUCUCGUUAGAUCACCGAAGUCAAGCAUCAUUGGGCGCGGUCAGUACUUGGGUGGGUGACCACCUGGGAACACCGCGUGCCGUU
rnacentral:rRNA from 1 species